GCCCAACCUCGAUUGAAUGGAAAAUUGAAGUGUCAUUUCAAAACGAGGCACGCACCCGUGAAGGAAGGAGUCUAGAACUCUAGUAACAAUUUACAUAAAUACUGUAUCUUUGCCUUUUUCCAAGUUUCCAUCUUAUGCUGUUUCACGAGAUAGUUUCGGAAUAUCUAAAAAUCAUUAUUUAAAGUUUAGAAUCUAAAUUAAACAACUUAGUCCUCUAUAGGAAUAACAUUGGCCAUAUUUGAUCAAUAAAGUUGCCUAGCAACAUACAGCAGUUUGAAUGUGGUUUAAGAUUGAUGAUCAACUGUGAAAUUAAGCAUAUAUGCAUAGAACAAGUACGAGUAUCAUUAUAAAGGCUUAUGAGUCCAUCAAUUGAGCAAAGUUGGAAAAUCCUGUAGAAGUCUAGGCCUAAGCAGAUUAGGAAAGUCAAAGUGGAUUAGCCUACACGUAGAUAGACAUAGUCUAGAUCUAAUGAUUUAUCAAAAUAAGUUUUGAUAAGAAAUAAGUGAUUUGUUUGGAUAUUGCAGCCACGCUAAAUAAUCAAAUUAGGAUUAGUUUUGUACCAAUGAAACGCAAGUGGUACCGCAGCAUCAAUAUUUUGAUCUUCACUGCAUAAGCUGGUAGAGUUUAGAUUUUAAAAGGUGUACUGUGUUAUAACAAUACAAUAUACCUAGAUAAUUUCGGAUAAUUUAACAAUGAAUUACACAAACUGUCAAGAAAAAUAAUACAAGGAAUUUUAGGGAUAAGCUGUCGAUUAAACUAUUGAGAUGCCGAAGACUAAUCAAGGAGGGUUUCCUGCAGGGAAUAAGUUGCUACAAAAAAGGUGGGCAGAACAAGCACACAGAUUACAUGUGCAGAAGAUGCAUUCAAUGAAGCCAGGACUGGACAACUCACCACCCAAAAGAUAUCCCCAUCUGGUACUAAGGCUCAAGAAAGUACAGAUGGAGGAGAAUCGCCAAGCAGAGAUAGAUCAUGACAAUAAACUGUUGCUGCAGAAAAUGACUGGUAUAAUGAAAGGUGGGAGGGGUGGUGUUGACAACUGGAACUACGACUACCACCCCAGAAGUCUCAAUCAACAUUAUAGGGAACGAGAACAAGAGAAAAUUGCCCUUGAAAAUAUGAAAAUUGCCAAAAUGUUGGAUCAAGUACGACCAAAGUAUCAAACAAGAGAUUGGGAGGAUGACUACCAAAGGCACAAUUACCUCCUGGACCUGUGGGGGGAGUCAGCCAAAGACUUUGGGGACUCCAGCUCCCCAAGGAGCACUAGGCAAAGCAAACAGGAAAAGCAAAAAGACACCGAGGAAGGUGACAACAGUAAAGAUAAAGGAAAGACCAAAAACAAUGCCUCCGAAGUGGAGAAUCAAGACUAUGUCUCAAACAAGAACAAGGAGAAAAAGGAGCACCUUAAGGCCAACAAAGGGAUAAACUCAUACUAACAAUAAUUCCCACUGUAGUUCUGAGGGUAACUCUCCUAGGGGAGGUGCAAAAGGGGAGAUUAAACCUGCUCAGACAGAUAGACAGGAAAAAAUGGAUGAGGAGUGCAAGCAAUUAUUUAAAGUCUGCAAAAAAUUGAGUGACCCAGAUGACAUCCUCAUUAGAUGUCUCAUUAAGAAGACCCCUGCAUACAGGAAAGAGCUUGCCGGGAGAUUCAAGGAUCAGUAUGAUCUGGACUUGCACAGUGAGCUGAAAGCAGCCCUUGGUUCACCUUAUGCUGCAUUGUUAGAUGCCCUCCUAGGAGACAAGAGUGCUGCUGAUGCAGAGGCUGUGCAUAAAGCCCUACAUGGAUCUGGUAACAAAGCUGUUGCGCUGGUUAAGUUACUGGUUGACAAGACUCCAGAAGAACUACAGGCCAUCAAGGACUCAUACAAAAAUGAACAUGGGGAGAGCUUAGAGGAAGACAUUAAAUAUCUGGCUGAUGAAGAAUGUGAGGCUUUAUUGCUGACACUGCUCAAUGAUGGGAAGAACCAGGACCAUGAUAUAGAUUUUGAUGCUGCUGAGGAGGACGCUAAGGAACUUCACGAGGCUGGGGAUGGUAGAUGGGAUAAAGACUCUGAAGUAUUUCUGACAUUGCUCUCACAGAAAAGCUUGCCACAACUCAAUGCCAUACUGAAGGCUUAUAAACAGAUCUCGGGGAAAGCUGCAACUGAUGUGGUUGAUAAGGAAUGCACAGAGGAAUUUGCAGAGGCCUUCUCUGCACUAGUGAAGUGUGUUGGGGUUUCUCCUGCACAGUAUGCUGAACAACUUAAGAAACACAUGAAGUCUGGAAACCCGGUGCUAAUUGAGAUCCUUAUGGCCCAUGCUGAUACUAACUUGGGUGCAAUACGCAAGGCUUACAAGAAGAAGUAUGGCACAGAACUUGCUGAUGAUAUCUACAAACAUUGUGGACCUUCUGGAAAGGUACUUGCUGUCAUGGCAGAGAAAAACCCUCCUGGGCAGGCCAAAGCAAUUAAGAAGAGUGAGGAACAAGCUAAGAAGAAGAUGCCUCCAAGUGGUGUAAAGGUGACAGGUCCCCCAAAGAGAGAUCCAGUGCGUAAACCCCAGCAGAAGAAGGAAGCAUCUGCUCCCCAAGACAGUCCUCUAUCCAAACCUAGUAAAAAAUCCAAUACAGACAGUACAAAUAAAUCGAAUAAUAAAAACUCUGACAACAAGGAUAAAGACAAACAAUCCAAAGAUAAAGAGGAACCUAAAACAAGUGGGACAAUAAAGCCUGCCAGUAAGUUUAAUGUUGAUAGUGAUGUUAAGGAUAUCCAUGAUGCAAUCCAAGGGUGGGGCACCAACGAAGGACCUCUGAUACAGAUACUAUCUGGCAGGAGUAAUGAACAGAGGCAAGAGAUCAAGAAGAAGUAUCAAGAAAAGUAUGAGAAAGAUCUACAGGAGGAACUUGAAGGUGAACUGACAGGUGACUUUGAAGAGGUCAUCCUUGGACUAUUGAUGCCACCUAUUGAGUACGAUGCGUACUGUCUCCAUGAAGCGAUGGAUGGAGCAGGAACAAGUGAAGCUGUUCUCAUAGGUGUGUUGUCCACACGCAAUGCCAAGCAACUGUCAGCUAUAAAGGAGCACUAUAAAAAAGAGUUCUACAGUGAACUUAGUGAGGACAUAGAAGAUGAUACCAGUGGUGACUUCAAGGAUAUCUUACUUGAGCUGGUGAAGGGAGAGAGGGACCAAGGUACAACUGUAGACAAUCAGCUAGCAAAAGAUGAUGCAAAGGCCAUAUAUGAUGUUGAUGAGGAAGCUGUGAAGGUGAAGGAAGAGAAGUUCACUGAGAUAUUCUCCAAGCAGAACCGUGCCCAAGUGAGGGCCCUGAUUGAGGAGUAUAAAGCACUAGCAGGAGAUGACAUCAGGGAGGGAAUCAAGAAAUCUGCAUCUGGAGACGCUGAGGAUGCUUACCUUGGACUGGUUGGUGCUAUUGAGGAUGUGACUGUAUUCUAUGCUGAGAGAUUACUUAAGGCUUCAAGUGGUAUUGGGACGAAUGACAAAAUGUUGAUACGUAUUAUUGUCUCAAGGUCUGAGAUUGACCUUGUACAGAUAAAGGCAAAGUUCAAGGAGCUCUCCAAAAAGUCCCUAGAGGAGGUCAUUGAGGAUGAGUGUAGUGGGGACUAUAAAAAGAUGCUCCUUGCUAUCGUCAAGGACAAGUAAGCAGCCAUAUUGAUGAUGUCAUAUUACAUGAACAAGCAUGUUGUUUUUGUUGUGUAAUUUGCAUGCAUCCAUAUAUUUCGUGGAAUAGUGCUGUUUACUAUAUGUUUGUUAUUGUUCAUAGUUCAAACUUAUAACAUUUAGUGUACAAAACAUAAAGAUCUGAAUUGUUUUUAAAUUAGCAUGACUCUCAGCAAGGAGCAUGGCGAUAUGUUACUGGUGUGGGACCAGUCUUAGUUGUAGAAAUAAGUUUCAAAGAAAAUGGUGAAGUCAAGAAUUCUGCAUCUGAUUUUACUGUGGGGUAAAUCCAUUGGUUUUGUCUAAUUUUUGAAAAUGCAUGCAUAUGAGUAAUUCAAACUAUUAAGUGUUUCAAAGAACUUUAAUGAGAGCUCAUAGUAUAUAAUAGGGCUGGUCAUGCUUAUCUUUUCUGUCAGUUUUGGGAUUUUGUAAAAAAAAGAAAAUAAAGGUGGGUCUUGGAAAUAAAUGUAAGUCAGUCAGUGAAAUUACCCCACAGUUUUACAAAAUAUAGGAUACCUAUAUUAACAUUUAUUUUGUACUGUGUACUACUAAAAUGUAAUAACGUAUUAUCCCAUAGAACAUAAUUUGGGGGAUAUAGAGAGAAUAACUCAAAAACUGUUUGACUGAGAUUGUUUAUAUUUAUGUGUAUCUGCCCAAUGAGAGUGCAAGUUCUGCUCGAAAACCAAUUUUUAAAAUAACCACCAGUUUCAAAAUGGCCAGUAUUUUAGUAUCAACUUUAUGCUACUUAAGUUACAACAUAAAAGUGUAAUAUUAAUAUGUUUAUAAUUACAGCUUUUUAAAAUGAUGACCAAGUUCAGUUAAUUGACCGUUUUUAUGGAAAUGGAGGACAAUUCUAGCAGAUAUUGAUUUUAGUGCUUGCUCAGAGGUACUGGUUUGUGUCCAUGAAUUUUUACUCACACCUCUUUCACACAAUGCAUUUGUGAAAAUGGAAUAACAAAAUAAUAUAAAAAAAAUUACUUUUGUAAGAAAUUUGACUACUUUUAAAAAUGUCUAUUUUCAUGUUUUCUAUCGAUUAGAUUCAUCAAGAAUAUUAAGAAUUUAUUCGUAAGAAAAAUAUUAAGUGUUCCGUACGGAACUGUUAAAAAUAAGUGAAUACUUAGGAUUUUGCAAGGUAUUUUGAGAAUUCCUCCUUUAGAUGAUGUCAUUGCAAAACUCUUCCUCCACUUACGUAAUUUUCACUGUAGUUUACGAAUACCAUAUAGAAGCAAAUUCCUUACAUCUUACAUCUUGUUGUGAAAUUAGAAGUUGUGAUAUAUUGGUUAAGUCAACAGAAAUGAACAUAAUAUUAUUCAAAGCGUUUUUAGAAAUAUUUUAAACCAUCAUCUUGAAAACAUGUAGUAAUAUAUAGAAUCAAAUGAUAAUCGAUCUUCUCAUUUGCAAUUUGAUCCUCUUCAGAAUUUUUCUUGCUGUUUGCCUAAGAUAUAAGAUGAAAAACUGAAUCUUUUUUGGUAAAAUCAUUUUUGCUUAUGAUUGUAAAUGUACUGUCAAAUUUUGAGCAAUAUUGAUGCAGUAUUGAUGACCGGACUAAUUUCUUCAGCUUUUUUUGGAUUGUGC
rnacentral:misc_RNA from 1 species